rnacentral:tRNA from 1 species
UCCACGAUAGCUCAAUAGGUAGAGCAUGCGGCUGUUAACCGCAGGGUUGUAGGUUCGAGUCCUACUCGUGGAGC